CAAAAAGUACAAAAACUAGCUGAGUGUGGUGGUGCGCACCUGUAGUUCCAGCUACUCAAGAGGCUGAGGUGGGAAGAUUGAUUGAGCCUGGGAGGUUGAGGCUGCGGUGAGCCAUGAUCCUGCCACUGCACUCCAGCUUGGACAACUGUAUUAGUCUGUUUUCACACUGCUGAUAAAGACAUACCAAAGAGUGGGUAAUUUAUAAAGAAAAAGAGGUUUCAUGUACUCACAGUUCCACGUGGCUGGGGAGGCCUUACAAUCAUAGCGGAAGGCAAAAGGCACAUCUUAUAUGGCAGCAGAUAAGAGAGAAUUGGGAACCAAGUAAAAGGGGUUUCCCUUAUAAAACGAUCAGAUCUCGUGAGACUUAUUCACUACCACGAGAACAGUA
rnacentral:lncRNA from 10 species